ensembl:lncRNA
GUCCUUCCCUGCCACAGAUGUGUUCCACGUCCACUUUAACUCUUUAAAGACACCUCUUUGCCUCCUUUAUCCCUUCAGCACUAAUGGCAUCUACCUGUCUGAGAUGCUAAUGGUGGAGAGAGGGUCCUUGACAGUGGGGGUUGUCUCAGAAAGAUGAGGAUCCAGCCGUACUGGUGCUCCUUACGCCUAUUACAACUCAGAUCACACGGUCUGUGGACCACCAUUUUUAAACCUCCAGAUUCCUGAAAGCCCUGUUAGCCAAAGAAAGACACUGUUUCCUCCUUUCUGUGCUGGGAAGAGGGCCCCUCGGGAAGUGUCAUGACUUGGAAAAGUGCGUUACCUUCAGGACUGCGAGAGCAGGGGAACAGUGGAGAGAGGCACAGUGGGCUCCAUCUCUUGCAUUCCUGGGCGGGAAGGACUCUCCCCACCACAGGGUCCAAGCCAUCUUAUUUGUCCCUCUCUUGGGGUAUUUAUCAGCAUUUAUCUUUUGCCAGAGUUUUUAUGUGUUCAUGUCUCACCUACCGCUGAGGGUAGCGUCAGUGUCUGAUUUAUCAUUCUAUCCCCCACCACGUCAGGAGAUGAAAGAGAACACCUUUCUCCUUGGCUGUCUCUCCUUGGGGAAAGUCUGGCAAAAGGAAGCACUCAGCAGAGAAAACAGAAAAAAAUCAACUACAGUCAACCAUUUAUUAUCAGUGUAAAGAGACACAAGAUGCCAGUAAAAAUUUUUCUUUGACACAGCAUCAUUCCUUCAGUGGUGGAAUGACAGGUAAAACAAAGUGGCAAUUUCAUAUCUUGGUAGAUCUGGAGUUUGGUGUGUGAAGAUGGGAAGGGCAGCGGCGGGAAAUACGGCGGGUGAGGGAGGCAGGUUCCAGGUCACGGAGAGCCAUUUGUGCCCGUGCUUCGUCCUGAACGCUACAGAAGCAACACGGACAGUUUCCCUUUUUGAGUGGCUUGACGGCGUUGGCUUCGGCGGCACAUGUACUAAAAUUGGAAGGACACAGAGAAGACUAGCACGGCCCCUGCACAAGGAUGACGCCCAAAUUCUCGACUCGCCUGGCAGCAAGGUGGAGAACGGGUACGGGGGAAGCAGACCAGAAGGAAGGAACCUAGUGGGAGGCCGCAGCCCGGGAAGUUCAGGCCGAGCUGAGGAAGGGGAGAUUAUAAUGAGCUGGGAAGUCUUCUUGCAGAACUGAUGAAGUUGGGCUUUGGGAGGUGGGCAUGAGUUGGGCCAGUGGACAGGAAGGGCAGGGCUUUCAGGAGGGAGGCUAGCAUAAGCAGAAGCAGAGUGGGGACAUGAGGCAUGUUUAGGCAAUGGCAAGGAGACCAACCAGGAUGCACUGGAUGGCUCAUAUGGAGAAGCCCUGGGAGAUGUCCCAGGAAACAGAUGAAGGAAGAGCUGAGAAUACCAGGGCCCAGAGAGUGACCCUCAUCCUGAGGCAAUAUGGCACCCCAUCAGGGCCAGAAAUUCUUUUAAAAAUUAAUGGUGUAGGGUGGAAUGGAUCAGGGAAGUGACCAAGCAUUUAGAAGAGGCCAUUGCAUUAGUCUGGGCAAAAGCGGAUGCCCUAAAAUCAGGGUGCCAUGUCUGUUCUGUUCACCCUCUAGAUCUCCUGUGGAUCUCAGGGCCAGGAACAGGAUAGGUGCUCAGUAAAUACGCAAGGAGUGAUAAUAUGGCAUAGAUUCUUUAAAAGAUAAAAAAGAAUAUGGAGUCUUGGUGACUUGGUAUCAUUCAGAGUCUAGCAGUGCCUUGCACAGAGUAAAUUCUUGAAUUGGUCUGGACUGGGCUGAACAGACAUGGAGAGCAAGAGUGGAAGAUUCCAAGCACUCUUUGAGAGAGGCUGGGGAUGUGCUGGUUCCAUGAGCAUGGACUGAUUUCUCAGGGAAUGUGGGUUUUAAAAAGAAACAAAGUCAAAGUAACGUAACGGCAAGAACCAUCUAAGGCAAGGUGAAAGACUUCAGUUCAGGUCUUGCCUACAAAUGAAUAUGCGUGUGAUAUGGAGCCAAUAAGAACCUCAGAGGCUCUCUUGUAAGGGGCUUUCUACAACUAAUCCAUUACCCAGCUAUAUACAUUCUUAUGAUUUUAUGUUUUCUCUUAAAUAACCUAGGCAAGACCCAUGAAGCUAAAAUUCCUAGCUCUUCCCUUCCUUGAACUCUAACUAUUUCAAGCAAACGUAUCCUAAUACCUAAUGCCACAGUAUACACAGGCUGGGCUCACUGGAGAGCCAGACUACAGCUAUGAUUCAAGUUCUUGGGUCUGUGGUCAGUCACCAGGGUAGCUAGCUCAUGGCCUCAACAAUAGCAUAACUGUUCACAGUUCAUUAUGUCACAACAACAAAAUGGUCAACUCUGACAAUAUAGCUUACCUCUGCCUAGCUGACAUAGGCAGAUUAAAUCACACUGCUGCUGCUCCUUAAUCCUGAUGAGUGGGGACGAGGGGCAAAGGGAAGUGGAUAGAGGGGCAGAAUUUAUUUUUACACUGAGAGGAAAAAAAUAAAACAAACACACAAACAAAAAAACCGGACA